UACGUAGGGUGCAAGCGUUGUCCGGAAUUAUUGGGCGUAAAGAGCUCGUAGGCGGUCUGUCGCGUCUGCUGUGAAAACCUAGGGCUUAACUCUGGGCGUGCAGUGGGUACGGGCAGGCUAAAAGUGCGGUAGGGGGAGACUGGAAUUCCUGGUGUAGCGGUGAAAUGCGCAGAUAUCAGGAGGAACACCGGUGGCGAAGGCGGGUCUCUGGGCCGUAACUGACGCUGAGGAGCGAAAGCAUGGGGAGCGAACAGG
rnacentral:rRNA from 1 species